AGAAUAUAGCAGCCAGACAGGUCCCCACCCAAACAAUCUGGAGGAAAAGAUAGUGCACCGAGAAUGGAAAUCAGUGAAACUCUAUACCAUUAGACAGAUGAUUUGUAGAUUUAGAGGUCAAAGGCUCUUACGCAGUCAGGACGGUCUUUCUUCCACAGACUCUUUGUAAGGAUCUAAAUUGGCCAAGAUGAUCUUUUAGCAGGCCCUCAAAAGCAGUGAUGUUGGCAGGCAGACCCUCAUCGGGCACCAAUCUGGUCACUACGGCCCCCACCAUGAGACUCAGUACAGGGAAAGCUCCUGGUUACGGCAACCAAUCCUGUGCUGACGCCGGACACAAUGUCAUUCAACAGCCAGUCUUUGACUGAGUAGAUUUUCAUCCAUCCAAUGAUAG